UGUGAUGAAGAAACUGCAUGGUUCUGGUCCCAGAAGAGCCACACUUCCUCAAUGGAAAUCGGUGAAGUGUGCACAACAACAUGACGGGAUUGCUUGCGGCUAUUAUGUGAUGAGGUUUAUGUACGAUAUAAUUUCUUCUUGCACGGAAUUUGAUGAUCUAGAGAAGAUUUACAACACGCCAAAGGAGGAGUCGUUCACUAUUGAGGAAAUCAAUGAAGUUCGGGACAAGUUUGCUUCCUUCCUUACUGAUAGUUGUCUUUGAUUUUGAUAUUUAGUUACGUAUGAUGUAAACAC